CUCCCCUUCACAUCCAACACCCAGAUCUAAUGGUGAUCAGAUCUAAGAAGAGAAAAAAGAGAGAAGAAGAGAAGAAGAAGGGUUCUUCUUCUUUUUAUAGUGAUCUGAUUCAGAUCCCAUCGGAUCUAUGCAAAAGAGUUUGCGUAGCGAUCUCUUUCUUCGAGAUCUAAAAGAAGAGAUCUAGAUCUAAGGAUGAAGAGCGAGAUCUGCAAGGUGCUAGCACACCAAUAAUCUCGAUGCUCUAAUCAGGCAUCUCUGUAUAGAUACC
rnacentral:lncRNA from 1 species